rnacentral:hammerhead_ribozyme from 17 species
CAAGCGUCUGGGGUAAAGAGUCGUCGCUGCCAUCAGCCCCACUGAUGAGUCUCGGCAGUGACUCCGACGAAACGCAUC